CACAAAUGCCUCAUGGAAUGCUCCAGACAGCUUCAGGCUCUCUGCUGAAGAGAUGCCAGACAGAUUGGCUGAUGAACUGAACAGCUUCCAGGGCCAUACCUGCUCCAGGCCGGAGAUGUCAUCAGGCAGCAGCACCCACAGGCUCAGCCGCCCACUGGCAUAUGGAAGCUCCAGGACUCUGCAUUUCUCAGAAGGGAUCUCUGCCACUUUAAAUGUGCCAAUCUGAGACAUCAUCUGCACAGGAAGAUUGUACAGCAACUUGUCUACUCCUCUCAUAAAUUCUAGAAGAUGACACCAUUGAAGUUAUGUAUGCCCACAUACCUCAGAAAUUCUGAAAGGAACUGUUUGGGUAUCUUCUUCAUUAAAUGCUUUCUCCCACAAUCCAUUGAAGUAGAUGGCACUGACCAGGACCAUGUCAGUUUGUGAACUCACAGAGCUUGGCUGAAGGAUAUUUUUGAUCGACCCUUUCAAAAUGCACAGGAAAAGAGAACAUGUAUAAUACAUCUGUGUAUAACACAUCUUACUUGGCAAUUACAACAUUAAAUGGAGGGUAAACAAUUUGUGGGAAGGAGAAUGUAGGGCAAGGAAUUGCUUUGGUUUUGUAGCGAUCUUGUAGUUCCAAGGUUGAUUUGCUUGCUGCUCUUGGCAAUGGUUGUUGUUUCUCUCCCUAUAAAGAAUUAUAGUGAGAGAUAUAAGAGCCAGAGAUUUACUCGAUACAAAAUUAGCAUAUUUUGUGUCAACAGGAAGAACCAUUGGAACCUUGUAUCCCAUGACGGUCUCCCAACCAAACAUUUAAUACUUUUUGCUUCAAACAAAAGUUGAAACAUUGCUGUCAAACAAUUUGUCAAUGUGUAAAAAACAUACUUUAGUGCUGUCCCUUUUAUCAGGACUGGAAAUAUUACAUAUCCACAAAACCUCUACAGAUAGAGAGAGUCCUCUAACAGGGAUGUGUCUGAGGAAAAAGAAAUUGUUAGAUGAUAGUUCUGUAUCUGGGAACUGAUCUAUUAUCCAGGAGAAGGAGCAGAGGUAGAGGUGCUAGUUUUUCAUUACCUGACUUAAAUGUUCUCAUAUGUUGUUCAAACAUGGUGGCAGAAGGGAAAUACCUAUGCUGAUAUUUGGUUUCCUCUUACCAUUUGUCUGACUUUCAACCCAGGAAUUUAUGAGCUCUCUGGAUUUUUCUGCAGCUGUUUGAAAGCUGAUAGAAUCCAAACCUCCCUGAUACAGUUCCUUCACACAUUGAAUGUAUUCCUGCAAAGAAAGUGUAUGCAGUUUUCAGAUCAGAAUGCUAAAGCAUUUUGCAGAUGUAAAAGGCAAAAAUGAAAUUAAGAGAUAUAAGCAACCUGCUUAUUAAGCCUAAUCAUUAAACCAUGAGCUAGUUCAUAAGCAUUUUAAGAUUAGAAAUGCAUUGUUUCAAGCAAGACUAGAUGGCCAUGUUUUUACAAAAUGUUUUCCAGAGCUGAGUUCAAUCUAAAAUCAACGUUCAUUUCAGUUAAGUAUGGGGUUUUUUUUCUUUUUGCCCACUUAUAAUUUGUUUUCACAAUGGUAUUCUCCUUGAAUUUCAAAUUAAGUGUUCCUUUCAAUGAAAAACCUUGGAAUAUUUUUGAGAACCUGAAGUCAUUUUUCCAGGUUUGUUUUGCAAGUUGAGAAAAGAGUUGGAGUUAUCUCUUGCCAGCAAAAAUUACCUUUAUUAGUUAUACCUUGACUUGAUUGGACUUUAUUUUACUUUGCACAAACAUCUUUUAGUCACAUUUUUUUCUCAAAAUUUUCAGGAGUUAAGGCUGUGAUAGAGAGAAUCUUUCCAUAUGGAAGAAAAUUUAUUUAGCACAACCUAGAUUUCUGACAGUGCUUUUUGCAUUACAGAAAGUUACAGUUUUGACAUUCAGAUCUUAGAGCAACUCACCGGCAGAAUUGGGUAUUUCUCUUCAGCAUAAAGUCUGCGGGCAAUGCUGAUCGAAUAAUUGUCACUUGGUCUGGUGAUUUGAGUGAAGACGUCCUUAAGUGAAUUGUGGAUGCUCACAGAUGCGCCGCACUGAUUGACAUGAAUACAAAUAAAAAUACAGAUGAUGUUAUCCUAGUUUUAAUGAUGAAUAGGUAUUACAUACUAUAUGAAAGGAGUAGAAUAGUUCAGAUGCUUCUGCUUAUAAAACUGCUCAUCCUAUGCUGAUGUAGUAAUUUUGUAAUAUACAAUAUAUAAUUCAGUGCUUAAAAUUACAGUUUUCUACUGUAAUUUCAUCAUACCAUUCUGGGGGGGGCUUUUAAUUACCUGCUACACUAAUCUAGCUUCAGCAGAUCAGUUACCAACCAGUCCUGCUUAACUACUAGCUACUUUGCAUAAUCAUCAAAAAAAAUUCCCCGUAUUGGCCCAAUAUUAUGGUGAUGGAUUUCAUUUUAUGCUUGCUCUGAAUUCUCUGUUGUCUGCCUUCUCCGUUCACUCUCAUGAAUGAAUUGUUCCCCCAAAAGCUGGAUGAAGAGCACUAGCUGCACAUUGGAGUAGGGUAGGAACUGCUACGGGACUGCUUAUCUGACAGAUUUUGCUCCCAGGAGAAACUGACAUAGAGAAGGGAUUAAAUUGUUUCUGUACCUGAGAUUCAACACUCUCUCCAAAUCCUGGGAUUUUAUCGAAGUGGAUAGCCUGUAAUUAAGAAAAGCAGUAGUUGAAAUAACUGGUAUGACAAGAAAAAGGUUAUGCAACUGAGAUUAACACAUAAUGUUUGAAGCAAACCUAUUGACUAACUGAGAAUGAGUCAAAAAGUGCAAUCUAUCUGUUCCAUCUCUGAAUAGCUAUGCAUACUGUUGCCUGCUUAGAUGAUCCUUUCUUUGAUUGAGCAUCUAGGAUUCAGCUCCAGUGUGUGCUACCAAUAAUGCCAACUGUCUUAUAGGUAAUAAGCCAGCCCCUCUCUGUGAAGAUAGUGAGAACUGUAGGAAACGCAUGACACACUUUGCAGACUGUGGAUAUAUUUCGAUUCUUUCCCUAUAGAUUUUGUCUCCUUUCUCUUUCCAAAGAAAGAGUCACUAGAAUGUGAGAAUUCUACUCCUAAACUGUGAUAAAAUUUAAAUCCAGUCUCAAGAUUUUGGGCUGAUGCAUUUGUUGAACAUUGUGGGAAUUUCAGGUGGCCACUGCUUUUGAUAACUCUGGAUCCACGUUUUGGUAACUCUGGAUCCACAUUUUUUAGCCUCUGAGGGACAUUAUCAUAUCAUUAAGGGCUGUGGCUCUGUUGAGCAGCAGGAGGAUUUAAAUACAAACAUAGUCUCACCUUUUCUAUCUGAGCCUUGGUGUUAUCUUUUGCACCUAUGUAGACCAUGGAGAGGGUUGAAAUGAUGAGCAGAGGGGAGUAGCAGACAUUCUCCUGGACACUCUGGCUUCUCAGCUCCCUGAAUAUGUCACAGCAAACUUCUGUGCUCACUGGACCGAGGGAGACCAUUGUGCAGCAGUAUUGUCUGGAGCAAAGAGCAGAAAUAAAUAAUAAUGUAAUGAUGGGAAUAGCAUACACACACAGCACAUGCAUUUCAAUAGGAAUUUUCAGGCUAUAAAAUACAAACAAGUAAUUUGGAAAUCAUUCUAUGUUAGUGUCUGUUGUUAUGGUCACCUCUCAUGAAUGUUAGAAACUCUGUUUUCACAAAUCUGUUUCCUUUUGCAUUUCUAUACUUUUACCUUUUUUAGCAGUUCCUCAGAGCUCUGGAAUCUGUAUGUGAUUUCUGUUUACCUUUUCAAAGCAGUCAAACAACAUUUACCUGUACUUAUUUUCAUUCACUGAAGGCUAAAAUUCAUUAGUACUUUGUAGUAGCUUGAUGAAAACAAGAAAAUAUUAUGUCUUUCAUAUACUUGCAAAGCUGGAAAUUUAAGCACAAAUUAUAUUUCCAUUUGGUCUAGGACUGGAGAGAUAUAGGUAAAAGCAGAGGCUAGUUAUUUUUAUUUUCUAAAAAUAAGUAGGUGCAUUAAAUGAACUAUUUGUUGCACAGUACUUACUGUCAGUAGAUCUUCAAAGGCCUGUAGCUUACUCUUGUUUAAGUAAUAGAAGCAUGGACAGGAAAUAUAAUUUGUCUAAGGUCACCUAAUCUUGGAGCAAGACUGAUGAACAAAAUUCAUGUUUCAUUGUAUUGUGCUUUCAGAUAUAGCUUGUUUUGUAUAAAUAUGCUAUGUUUUCUCAGACUAUAACCUGUCUGAGAAAUUAAAUAGCUGUUUUUCAAAAUCCAGCCCCUUAUAUAGGAGCUAAAUGCUAAGAUCUCAAGUUUCUCUUUGUAGUGUUAAACUCUACAAAAGUGUUUUGUGGAUGGCAUCUUGGAUAUAAACAUACAGAAAAACACAUUUUUCUCUCACUUUCCUUUCUGUAUACAUGUUACCACUUAUAAGUUAUUUAAAAAUUGUACAUCUGUCCACCCACGUACCCUUUUAUGUUGUGUUCACCAACUGCAUUUUUCAGGAAUGCAACUCUUAGAGAAAUUUCACACUAAAAUAAACCUAGCAAAUUCACUGAACACCACAGUUCUGAGCUCAAUACACUCUUUUGAACCAGAGGUCAAGCAAGGAAAUUUAUUAUUUGUCUGUCAAAAUGAAUCUUAAAAGAUAAGGAAGAUGCUGUGAAAUAAAAUCAUGUUUUGAGCACGAAAUAACAUUUUAAACACAAGAAUAACUUCUAAAAUCUCCCCCAAACCACAAACAUUCAGAUUUUACACAUAAUAAAGUAGCGUAGAAUGCAUAUACACUGGUGAGAUUUGUAGAGAAUAUCAUGUAAAUAUUCUGCCUGAAAAAUAUUAAACACAAGACAAUAACUUCUCUCUUUUUAAGUUUAGUCAGAAAUACGAAUUAAUGCAAUAAGAAGGUAAAUUUUCUGAGAGAAAUGCUUACCUUCAAGCUUCAGCACCAAAGACAAUACAGCUUUCAAGCUGUAUGUGGGUAUACUGGCAGAGCCCUUGGGAAUUUAUACAGUCUGAGUUGUGACCCACCCAUUGCUGUCCUUCAGAAGUUUGACUUUUGACACCAUAAAAUAAAUUAAUGGUAUUAGGUCAGUUUUCUGUUUCAAUGGGUUUGGGUUUGAUUGAAGGGAGAACAAAUAUUAGUAUUUUAUUCUGUGUAACAGUGCUUUCCACCAUUACAUCAGGACCACCGGGCUGGAGAAAAGGCUGGAAAAUAUGCUUCAUUUGCAAUGAGAUACUGGGAUGGCAGUAAAAAACAAAAAAUCUGAAAACCUUAGUGAUGUGACAUAUCAGUAAGCAGCUACUAGUCAAUAUAAGCAUCACAUUAGCAGUUAUUAGUCAAUAUGUCAAUAAUUAGUCCAUGUAUUAUUAUGCAUGUAGUAAUGGACCAGAACUCUCUUUCAGUUCAUCCUUUCUGAAUAUACAAAAUGCAGCUAUGCUAGACAGAAGAGAUGGGAGGACAGGACUUAGCCUUUUAUUCUUCAAAAAAAAAAUUGGGGAAAUAAAGUAGGGUGCAUGUGAGAAAACCAAUUGAAAUUAUAGUCAAAACCAGGAACAUUUUCUUUGAGAAGCUGGAAUAUUUAUAAAAUAUCUUUUUAUGAAUGUGAUUUAUAGAAAAGUAUUUUAUUCUCGGGGUUAACAGCAAAACAUAAUUCUAGACAAAGUAAAAAAUAGUCAGUUCAAAAUGUAUUUGUGUAUGUAUUUGCCUUUUAUCUCUCAGAUCUUCCAUGAGUAACUCAGAUCUUCCAUGUCAAAUUUAUAAAAUAUCUUUCUAUGAAUGUGAUGUACAGCAAAGUAUUUUAUUCUUGGGGUUAACAGCAAAACAUAACUCUAGACAAAGUAAAAAAUAGUCAGUUCCAAAUGUAUUUGUGUAUGCACUUGCCUUGUAUCUCUCAGAUCUUCCAUGAGUAACUUAAUGGCCUGACAGAUGAUGAAGGAGCUGUGAAUUCCAGCUAGUGUUCAUGGUCUGUGGGACAAUCAUAAUAUAUAAUAGCAAAUAUAUUUCACUUUAAAAAGCUAUUAUUCUGUAUUGAAAUAAUAGAAUGGACAAACAGUUAAGAAGCCAUUCUGACCUCUGCAAAGCACUGUGUGAUUUCUAAAAGCAGGAGAAUGGGGGGAAGACAGGAGAGGGAUCUCAAAGUCUGUACGACAUAAUUCUUUAGAACAUAUGGGACAUAACUGUGAUCUCUGUUCAGCAGAGUAGUCUCCUGUACUGCUGUCAAAAGUUUAGGCAGUGCAGUGUUCUUUGCCUCAGUCUGCUUCCUCUUGUGAAAAUAAACGUGCCAUAUAAAUCUA